UACAGAGGGUGCGAGCGUUAAUCGGAAUUACUGGGCGUAAAGAGCGCGCAGGCGGUCGAUCAAGUCGAGUGUGAAAGCCCCUGGCUCAACUGGGGAGGGUCAUUCGAUACUGAUCGACUCGAAGGCAGGAGAGGGUAGUGGAAUUCCCGGUGUAGUGGUGAAAUGCGUAGAUAUCGGGAGGAACACCAGUGGCGAAGGCGACUACCUGGCCUGUUCUUGACGCUGAGGCGCGAAAGCUAGGGGAGCAAACGGG
rnacentral:rRNA from 1 species